GUGCUCACUUUGGCAGCAAAUACACUAAAAUUGGAAGGAUACAGAGAAGAUUAGCAUGGCUCCUGCACAAGGAUGACCUACAAAUUUGUGAAGUGUUCCAUAUUUUU